CCUCGGGCGGCGGCAGCGGCGGCGAGACGAGGGGGAGGAGUUCUGCGAGCUGCGGGGCGGGCGGCGGGUAGAGGUGUGAGGGCGGCCAGAGACCUGAGGGGGAGCCGGGCCGGGGGGCCGCCGCCGCCACCAUGCAGGAACUCAUCGCCAGCGUGGACCACAUCAGGUUCGACUUGGAGAUCGCGGUGGAGCAACAGCUCGGGGCGCAGCUGCUGCUCUUCCCCAGCAUGGACAAGUCGGGGGCUGUUGUCUGUGAAUUCUUUUUGAAAGCUGCCUGUGGCAAAGGGGGCGUGUGCCCAUUUCGCCACAUCAGUGGCGAGAAGACAGUUGUGUGCAAACACUGGCUGCGAGAGCUGUGCAAGAAAGGGGACCAGUGCGAGUUCUUACACGAGUAUGACAUGACCAAGAUGCCUGAGUGCUACUUCUACUCCAAGUUCGGGGAGUGUAGCAACAAGGAGUGCCCCUUCCUGCACAUCGACCCUGAGUCCAAGAUCAAAGACUGCCCUUGGUACAACCGCGGCUUCUGCAAGCAUGGUCUCCUGUGUAGGCAUCGGCACACGCAGAGAGUCAUCUGUGUGAAUUACUUCGUGGGAUUGUGCCCGGGGGGACCCUCGUGUAAAUUCAUGCACCGGCGAUUUGAACUGCCCGUGGGAACCAAUGAGCAGCCCCCACGGCCACAGCAGACGCAGCCUCCAACAAAGCAGAGAAUCCCACAGGUCAUCGGG